rnacentral:rRNA from 1 species
UACGGGGGGGGCAAGCGUUGUUCGGAAUUACUGGGCGUAAAGGGCGCGUAGGCGGCCUGCUAAGUCACACGUGAAAUCCCUCGGCUCAACCGGGGAACUGCGCGUGAUACUGGCGGGCUCGAAUUCGGGAGAGGGAUGUGGAAUUCCAGGUGUAGCGGUGAAAUGCGUAGAUAUCUGGAGGAACACCGGUGGCGAAGGCGGCAUCCUGGACCGAGAUUGACGCUGAUGCGCGAAAGCUAGGGUAGCAAACGGG